rnacentral:tRNA from 1 species
GAAGGUAUAGCUCAAGUGGUAGAGCAUGUGCUUGGCAUGCAUGAGGUCCUGGGUUCAAUCCUCAGUGCCUCCU